rnacentral:rRNA from 1 species
UACAGAGGUCUCAAGCGUUGUUCGGAUUCAUUGGGCGUAAAGGGUGCGUAGGCGGCGCGGUAAGUCGGGUGUGAAAUCUCGGAGCUUAACUCCGAAACUGCAUUCGAUACUGCCGUGCUUGAGGACUGGAGAGGAGACUGGAAUUUACGGUGUAGCGGUGGAAAUGCGUAGAUAUCGUAAGGAAGACCAGUGGCGAAGGCGGCGUCUGGACUGCAACUGACACUGAAAACGAAAGC